rnacentral:rRNA from 1 species
AUUGAACGCUGGCGGCAGGCCUAACACAUGCAAGUCGAGCGGAUGAAGGGAGCUUGCUCCUGGAUUCAGCGGCGGACGGGUGAGUAAUGCCUAGGAAUCUGCCUGGUAGUGGGGGAUAACGUCCGGAAACGGGCGCUAAUACCGCAUACGUCCUGAGGGAGAAAGUGGGGGAUCUUCGGACCUCACGCUAUCAGAUGAGCCUAGGUCGGAUUAGCUAGUUGGUGGGGUAAAGGCCUACCAAGGCGACGAUCCGUAACUGGUCUGAGAGGAUGAUCAGUCACACUGGAACUGAGACACGGUCCAGACUCCUACGGGAGGCAGCAGUGGGGAAUAUUGGACAAUGGGCGAAAGCCUGAUCCAGCCAUGCCGCGUGUGUGAAGAAGGUCUUCGGAUUGUAAAGCACUUUAGGUUGGGAGGAAGGGCAGUAAGUUAAUACCUUGCUGUUUUGACGUUACCAACAGAAUAAGCACCGGCUAACUUCGU